CCUACGGGAGGCAGCAGUGAGGAAUAUUGGUCAAUGGGCGCGAGCCUGAACCAGCCAAGUAGCGUGAAGGAUGACUGCCCUACGGGUUGUAAACUUCUUUUAUAAAGGAAUACAGUGAGUCACGUGUGCCUCUUUGUAUGUACUUUAUGAAUAAGGAUCGGCUAACUCCGUGCCAGCAGCCGCGGUAAUACGGAGGAUCCGAGCGUUAUCCGGAUUUAGUGGGUUUAAAGGGAGCGUAGAUGGGUUGUUAAGUCAGUUGUGAAAGUUUGCGGCUCAACGGUGAAAUUGCAAUUGAUACUGGCAAACUUGAGUACAGGUGAGGUAAGUGGAAUUCGAGGUGUAGGAGUGAAAUGCUUAGAUAUCACGAAGAACUGCGGUUGCGAAGGCAGCCUACUAAACUGCCACUGACAUUGAUGAUCGAAAGUGUGGGUAUCAAACAGGAUUAGAUACCCUUGUAGUC
rnacentral:rRNA from 1 species